GAUGAAAACAUCAGAGUUACAGUGACUGAUCUGCAAAAACUGACAGUUUGUAUCUAGAACUAAAAGUGAUUUCUACAAAUGGAUGUUGAUGCAAACUGAGCACUGCAGAAAAUCUAGAACUGUGAAGUAGAAAACUGUCCUGUCACUGUCCAAAAUGGUUUAGACUUGUGAGACCAGGAAGUGUUGAGCUUCAGUGUGUUUGUACCUCAGGCAGCCUGAAUUCUUCGAUCCCAGACUCCAACAUGUGUUUCAGUCCACUGUUCAUCUGUUUGGCAUUUUGGACCUGAACAACAAGACAGAAACACUCAGUGUCCUGAACCUCCUGCAAGUGUCACCACCAGGUGGCAGCAGAGCCCCAACAGAUCAGCUUUAUAUUACAGCCAUGUUUCCUGUGAUGGCUUCUGACUGUUUGAUCCCUGGUCUGCAGGAGGACUUAGAAGGAGAGGAACUGCUGUAGUGCCUCCAACCUGUCUCUUGAGGGACACCAGCUCCAUGUCCAGCUGGCGGAGGAGGGUGUUGGCGGCGGAGGCGCUGCAGGACACGGCCACCACGUCUUCCUG